rnacentral:rRNA from 1 species
GACGAACGCUGGCGGCGUGCUUAACACAUGCAAGUCGAACGGAAAGGCCCUGCUUUUGUGGGGUGCUCGAGUGGCGAACGGGUGAGUAACACGUGAGUAACCUGCCCUUGACUUUGGGAUAACUUCAGGAAACUGGGGCUAAUACCGGAUAGGAGCUCCUGCUGCAUGGUGGGGGUUGGAAAGUUUCGGCGGUUGGGGAUGGACUCGCGGCUUAUCAGCUUGUUGGUGGGGUAGUGGCUUACCAAGGCUUUGACGGGUAGCCGGCCUGAGAGGGUGACCGGCCACAUUGGGACUGAGAUACGGCACAGACUCCUACGGGAGGCAGCAGUGGGGAAUAUUGCACAAUGGGCGGAAGCCUGAUGCAGCAACGCCGCGUGCGGGAUGACGGCCUUCGGGUUGUAAACCGCUUUCGCCUGUGACGAAGCGUGAGUGACGGUAAUGGGUAAAGAAGCGCCGGCUAACUACGUG